UGAUGAGAGCAUCUCUCUCUCUCUCUCUCUCUGGUGUUCUAUCUUCAUCUACAGCAGCCACGACCCCCUUUCUCACAAUCUUCAUCAGAAACUCCUUUCUCUCCAUCUUCAUUUUGACCAUCACCACUACCAGACGCAAUCGCUAAACCAGUCUACUCUCUCUCUCUCUUUGUGAUUUGCAUCACUACCACCAGCGCCAAUCACCGAUCUCCGAGUUCAAUGGAACUCUGGUGUUUGAUUGAACACCAUUGUUUGGACUUCGAUGGAGGUCGAUUGGUCUAGGAAAGAGCACUACAAAUUGAUGAAGAAGAAGCCCUAAAGGUCAAUGAAGGUUGAGAUGAAGAACAAGUUCAUCAAUCAUUCUAGAAUCCAGAUUUUGCACAGAAGAAAUUGUCCAAGUGAAAAAGAGAGGAAUAUUAUGUCAAAGAAGAAAGCCCACCUACAAAUAAUAACAGCAAUGUUGACAUGCGUUGUGUCAACUAUAGAUCGAACAUGACAGGGUUGGUGAAAUUAAUGAAAAGCACAAAGUUCACAGAAGCACAACUCGGCUGCUUGCGGUGAACAUCUUUAUUGCAAUUAUUAGAUGCAUUGAGAACUGGUGAGAUCGAUCUUGACAAGUGCAUGAAGUAUGAUGAUGUUGUUGUGCAUGUCCUAUAGACGUACAAGGCAUCCAAAGAUGCCUUCUACAUUGGCAAGAAAAAAAUAAACAUACACGACAGCGACAUUAAAUUAAUUUUUGGUGUGUACUGUGGCACCAAACCAAUGGACGUAUCAUAUGGUGCGAAACCAAAGACUGACAUUAUAAAUGAAAGGUGCAAAAAUGUCAGCCGGCUGACUUCAAAAUUGAUACGCAUCCUUUUGACCGAGGCAUUGACUGGCAAGAAGAAAAAUGACAACAAAGAAGUCGCGCGAUUAGCCUGCAUGUUUGCAUGCCAUAAAAUUUUUUUCUCGAUGAGCAGCGAAACAAUAUGAUGGGGUUACUAUGCACAUAUGGUCCUAUUCGAAAGCAUGCAAAAAUAUGACUGGGCCAAACAAAUUAGAACAACGCUGACAUCCUCUAUUUUCCAAAACGACAAAAAACCGGGGAAAGUCACCGAAUGUGUCAUGUUGUUGAUGGUACAUCCGGUGGCGAGUCUGAUUGCUCACUGAGUGCUUGAAGUCCGCGGCGGAACGCCACAGGUCAUGCUGAAACUUGGAAGAAUAAAGUUAUAAGGAAUGCAAAGUUGAGCCAGGCUACAAUCUACGCCAGUUCAAUGCAUAGAGUGUGCUUGACAGUUGACCUUUUUAUUUUGAUGGUGCUACACAUAUGGAUAGGAAGUAUAGAGCUGAAUUCCAACUGGUUUUAUGCUCAUGUUCUAAGGCUUCUACCUAUUCCCUUGCGGGUUGUGCUUAGAGUCUUAUUUUAUUUUCUUAAUCGUUUGGUUCCAUGUAUAUUGGUCUAUGUGGCUGCUAUGGAAAACAUAAAAUUGAUAGGAUUGUUUUUGUAUGUGCUACUGAACAUGGUGUAUGUGGCUACUAUGGAAAACAUUACAAUGAUAGGCUUGUUUUUGUAUGUGCUAGCUAGAUAUAUGCUAGUAUAAAUGUUUUAGUUGGUUUGUUUUGUAUAGCUUUGGUGGGGCCUGGGGUAUACCCCUUGUAUUCUUGUAAUUUUUCUUGUUUUAUUUUAUGACUUAUUCACCAAUAUAUAUAUAUAUAUAUAUAUCUUGCUUCUAUA